AUGACCGCCGUGAUUGCAAAGCUCGUUCUGCCGGUGAUCGUGAUGUUCAUGGUGUUCUCGGCGGUGCUCGGCGCGGCGCGGCCGCUGGCAGGAGAGAAAUGGGGCGCCGGAGAAGUCACAGCCGGAGACUCCGUCGUCGGAUUCAUCCGGCAGGUGUAUCUCCAGCGGCUGCAAGGGGCGCCAGGGGCAAAUCACUCGUGCUCGACCUGGAGCCCAAAUAAUAAAAGGUGCCCCUGA
rnacentral:rRNA from 1 species